rnacentral:rRNA from 1 species
UGCCAGCAGCCGCGGUAAUACGAAAGGGGCUAGCGUUGUUCGGAAUCACUGGGCGUAAAGAGUACGUAGGCGGUAUGGAAAGUUAGAUGUGAAAUCCCGAGGCUCAACCUCGGAACUGCAUUUAAAACUCCCAUACUAGAGACCGGUAGGGGAUAGUGGAAUUCCUAGUGUAGAGGUGAAAUUCGUAGAUAUUAGGAGGAACACCAGUGGCGAAGGCGACUAUCUGGGCCGGUACUGACGCUAAGGUACGAAAGCGUGGGGAGCAAACAGGAUUAGAUA